AUUGAACGCUGGCGGCAUGCCUUACACAUGCAAGUCGAACGGCAGCACGGGAGCAAUCCUGGUGGCGAGUGGCGAACGGGUGAGUAAUACAUCGGAACGUGCCCAAUCGUGGGGGAUAACGCAGCGAAAGCUGUGCUAAUACCGCAUAAGAUCUAUGGAUGAAAGCAGGGGACCGCAAGGCCUUGCGCGAAUGGAGCGGCCGAUGGCAGAUUAGGUAGUUGGUGAGGUAAAGGCUCACCAAGCCUUCGAUCUGUAGCUGGUCUGAGAGGACGACCAGCCACACUGGGACUGAGACACGGCCCAGACUCCUACGGGAGGCANCAGUGGGGAAUUUUGGACAAUGGGCGCAAGCCUGAUCCAG
rnacentral:rRNA from 1 species